AGAGUUUGAUCCUGGCUCAGGACGAACGCUGGCGGCGCGCCUAACACAUGCAAGUCGAACGAGAGAGAGGGAGCUUGCUUCCUCAAUCGAGUGGCGAACGGGUGAGUAACGCGUGAGGAACCUGCCUCAAAGAGGGGGACAACAGUUGGAAACGACUGCUAAUACCGCAUAAGCCCACGGCUCGGCAUCGAGCAGAGGGAAAAGGAGCAAUCCGCUUUGAGAUGGCCUCGCGUCCGAUUAGCUAGUUGGUGAGGUAAUGGCCCACCAAGGCAACGAUCGGUAGCCGGACUGAGAGGUUGAACGGCCACAUUGGGACUGAGACACGGCCCAGACUCCUACGGGAGGCAGCAGUGGGGAAUAUUGCACAAUGGGGGAAACCCUGAUGCAGCGACGCCGCGUGGAGGAAGAAGGUCUUCGGAUUGUAAACUCCUGUUGUUGAGGAAGAUAAUGACGGUACUCAACAAGGAAGUGACGGCUAACUACGUGCCAGCAGCCGCGGUAAAACGUAGGUCACAAGCGUUGUCCGGAAUUACUGGGUGUAAAGGGAGCGCAGGCGGGAAGACAAGUUGGAAGUGAAAUCUAUGGGCUCAACCCAUAAACUGCUUUCAAAACUGUUUUUCUUGAGUAGUGCAGAGGUAGGCGGAAUUCCCGGUGUAGCGGUGGAAUGCGUAGAUAUCGGGAGGAACACCAGUGGCGAAGGCGGCCUACUGGGCACCAACUGACGCUGAGGCUCGAAAGUGUGGGUAGCAAACAGGAUUAGAUACCCUGGUAGUCCACACCGUAAACGAUGAUUACUAGGUGUUGGAGGAUUGACCCCUUCAGUGCCGCAGUUAACACAAUAAGUAAUCCACCUGGGGAGUACGACCGCAAGGUUGAAACUCAAAGGAAUUGACGGGGGCCCGCACAAGCAGUGGAGUAUGUGGUUUAAUUCGACGCAACGCGAAGAACCUUACCAAGUCUUGACAU
rnacentral:rRNA from 1 species